rnacentral:lncRNA from 1 species
GCUGCGGGGAGACGCCCGGGCUGGGUGUCCGCGGACUGUGUGAACUGGUCCCACUACUGAGCUGUGCUG